rnacentral:rRNA from 1 species
UGGCUCAGAACGAACGCUGGCGGCGUGCUUAACACAUGCAAGUCGAGCGGAAAGGCCCUUCGGGGUACUCGAGCGGCGAACGGGUGAGUAACACGUGAGCAAUCUGCCCUUAGCUUCGGGAUAGCUCCGGGAAACCGGAAUUAAUACCGAAUAUGACGGUGGCUGACAUCAGCCAUAGUGGAAAGUUUUUCGGCUAGGGAUGAGCUCGCGGCCUAUCAGCUAGUUGGUGGGGUAACGGCCUACCAAGGGGACGACGGGUAGCCGGCCUGAGAGGGCGACCGGCCACACUGGGACUGAGACACGGCCCAGACUCCUACGGGAGGCAGCAGUGGG